rnacentral:lncRNA from 1 species
GCACAGCUUGGUCAAGGUCUGUGCACCAGACGUUCUAUAACCGGCUGGUGCAAACAGGAAUGCUAGCCAUCUUGCAAAACAACAACAACAACAGCCCUGUUCCACAUAAAUUUCAUCCUAACUCAAAGAGCUUCUAGGACGAGGGCUGCCAAUGUUAAGGAUAAUGGUUUAAUUUCCUGAAAUGUUGCUUAUGUUGCAUUGGUGUGUGUUUAUUUAUUUAUUUAUUGCAUGGGGUUCUUCCUUUGGCAACAGCUCUCUCAUGUGAUUGGCUGGCUGUGAGUCACAUGAGAGAGCCAUUCCAUUCUGUUGUGACUGUUAUUCAAGUAACUGUCGUUUUUAACUGUUUUCUGUUCUCCUUUCUCUCUGUGUGUGUGGGAGAAUGGCUGCUGAGUUUGGCUUCUCUGGAUGAUGCUGAGGGCAAUGCGGUGUCGGUGUGCUCUGUCUGGGUUGAAGCAGACAGAGGAAGAUCCCUAAAUGUUAACAGGGAGGAGAAACAUGUGCUCUUUCUAUAAGGAACGAAGGGAAGAUAGCUGAAAUGGCGUAUUGUACACAAAUGAUGUUCCUUUGAUUUAUUAAUGGGUCAAGGAAAUGGUCAUUUUUCAUUAUGAGGCAGUCCCUUGUACUGAUACUGUUUGAAUGAAGCAAUCUGCACAACUAAAUAUCCAGGGUCUCCUGAGUAAGAAGCAGGAAAGAGAAAAUUUCCCAGGGUGCGAGAAUGAGGGAGGAAAUGGAAGCUCCCAGGCAAGAGUUGGGAGAGUUCACCUUUCUCUGUGUGGGACAAGCUAUGAUUUAUCUGUGAAAGAGGACUUUGUAUUCUUUUUUCUCUCUUUUUGUAUGUUUGUGUUUAGUUAUUUUAUUGUAAUGUCUUAAUAAAGCUUUAUAAAAUAGAAAUAAAAAUACCCAGGGUCUCUUCUACCUUAUCAGUUUCUAUAUGGCCUGUACUGCACUGAAAUUCUAUAUGUGUUGACACAUAAGUAAUGUGAAUUCAAGGUUUGUUAGUGAACUAAUAAUUUUGAUGGGAAAUUGUUGAAGUAGGCAUGGUGUAUAUAUUCAAUGAUUCUGCACUGGGUACGGCAAUGAUUGGCUAAACUGUCCUUGCAUCACAGAAGGGCUGAAUAGGAAAAGGAGCGUUCAGAAGCAGCACUAAAAGAGGCUUAGAGAAUCUCAGGCUACAGGGCCAAAUGUGGUCCUCUAUUUGGCCUUUGUGACUCUAUGCUUCAUCUCAUCCCCAAUACACACUUCUUACAAGUUUUGCCUGGCUGGAAAAUUUCCUUGCUAGGAUGGAUCAGCAGCAGCUGAUCUGAAGUUAUGGUGAAGGAAAGCAACGAAGUUUCUCCCCUAUCAAAUGUUUAAUUUGUUUGUUUGCUUUUAAAGCUGGGGGUGGGGAAUAAAAAGAGGGGCACAGCUAUACAAGAGGAAGAAAGAAGAAGAAGAAGAGGAGGAGGAGGAGGAGGAGGUGGAGGAGGAGGAGUUUGGAUUUGUUAUCCCGCUUUAUCACUACCCUAAGGAGUCUCAAAGCGGAUAACAAUCUCCUUUCCCUUCCUCCCCCACAACAAACACUCUGUGAGUUGAGUGAUGAUGAGAGACUUCAGAGAAGUGUGACCAGCCCAAGGUCACCCAGCAGCUGCAUGUGGAGGAGCGGGGAAGCAACCCGGUUCACCAGAUUACGAGUCCACCACUCUUAACCACUACACCACACUGGCUCUACAAGACUACAGAGAGGCAUGCAGAUGGAUUGCAGCCUUUUGCAGAAGGGUCAUACUUAGGGUUGCCACAAAAAUUGUUGAGUUUUUUUUUAGGGAAACCCCCAGAGAUAGUGAUUUUAAGCUUUUGGAGCUUUUUUUUCAUCACGUUGCCAUACCUCCGGGUUUUCCCUGACAUUUUGCCGAUUCAGCAAGAUUCCCCCCAGACACUUCCACCCGAAAAGCAGGACAUGUCAGGGAUUUUCCUGACAUGGCAAGCCUAGUCACACCUGUUGCCCUGAACUCUUUUGCUUUUGGUUCUACCCAUCCCUGGCAUCUGUCCCCCAGAAGGUUGCCCAUGAGGGAAAGAGGCCCUCGGACUGAGAGAUGUUUCUGUCGGAGCUUCCGUACGACCAAACUGAAAUAGCUCUCCUCCUCUUCAUACUUCGGAACCCAUCAGGCUCUCCUCCUCCGACAGUGAUUAACGACUUAAGCCUUUGAUGAGGCUUCAGGCACGCUUCCGAUUCCACAGAGUAUCCAAACAGCAGAAGGAGCUGGAAAUAUGUGCUACAUCGCUAUGUUUAUUUCUAACUAUGCAGGACAGAAAAGAAUAUGCAUCUGCUCUCUGUGAGAGUCAGUGAACAACUGGAACAAAGCAACAUGAAACCAGUAACAUGAACGUCCGUCUCCCGUCUCCCAUCUCCCGUGACACUUCCAACAGUCUGGAAUGUAAACAGAGUCUUGUGACUCCAAAAACUGCACAGUGACAUAACAGAAACCUAACAGUUUCCUCCAACUGC